UUCUUCUAUGUCACUCUUGUUUCUUAAUCGUUCCUCCAAACAUGGACAUUUAGGUAGCAAAAACUGAUGCAUUGUUGAUAUUCACUUGAAACUACCACGCAGUAGCUCGCUUUCUCCUUCAACCGUCCGUAACGUCAACAUGCAAGCGUGCGACGUGAAAGUUGGGUCAUAGGUUAUGACAGAAUGAUUGCUCUGUGUCUAAAACAAUCUGUUCAUUUCAAUCUGUCCUUAUUUUCUUUUGUGAGUUAAAUAUUAUUAUCACACAAUAAAUAACCCAGAAUGAAAUUAAAUAACAAUAAUAAAUAAACCAUUUUCUUGGGGGUGCUAUGGGGGUGCUAUGGCUAAUCCAGGGGGAGCUAGAGCACCCCCUAGCCCCCCCCCUGGCGCCGCCCCUGACCUCAAGAGAUAUGUAGGUGUCUCAGCUCACAAAUGCCUAGAAGGGACAUUCUAUCGUAGUGACAGCGAAGCUUACAGUGACGCUUGGAACAAGCUCAAUCAGAGGUAUGGCCAGCCGUUUAUCAUUCAAAAGGCCUUUAGAGAAAAGUUAUCCAACUGGUCAAAAAUACAGUCUAAAGAUGCUGAAGGACUGAGAGAUUUCUCAGAUUUCUUAAAUGCCUGUCUGCAGGCCAUGCCCCAUGUAAAAGGUUUAAACAUCCUAAAUGACUGUGAGGAAAAUCAGAAGUUGAUGCGGAAACUGCCAGAGUGGAUAGCCUCAAGAUGGAACCGGCAAGUGACAUUGCGUCUCACGGAGGGAAAGGAUUUCCCUAGCUUCAAGGACUUUGCCAAGUUCAUGUCUAUGGAGGCCGAAACCGCCUGCAAUCCAGUCACUUCUUUCCUCGCUCUCCAUUCAGCUGAAUCCUGUCAAGACAAGUGGAGCACAAGGGUAAGCAAAAGAAAUAAAGCCAGUGCCUUCAACACACAGACAGUGGUGGAAAGCAAUAAGCAGACAACAACAAAGGAAAAGGUCAAGACCCCUUGCAUGCUAUGUCAGGAUAACAGUCACCAGCUUUGCAAAUGUCCAGACUUCAUGAAAAGAAAACUGGAAUACAGGAGGACGUACGUCAAAGACACCAG
rnacentral:lncRNA from 1 species